GACGAACGCUGGCGGCGCGCCUAAUACAUGCAAGUCGAACGGGUCUCCUUCGGGAGGUCAGUGGCGGACGGGUGAGUAACACGUGGGUGACCUGCCCCGAAGUGGGGAAUAACGCUGCGAAAGCAGCGCUAAUACCGCAUAUGCUUAACGGUCCAAUCUGUUAAAGCAAAGCAGCAAAUGCGCUUUGGGAGGGGCCUGCGGCAGAUUAGCUAGUCGGUGGGGUAAUGGCCUACCAAGGCGACGACGGGUAGCCGGCCUGAGAGGGCGACCGGCCACACUGGGACUGGAGACACGGCCCAGACUCCUACGGGAGGCAGCAGUGGGGAAUCUUGCGCAAUGGGCGAAAGCCUGACGCAGCGACGCCGCGUGA
rnacentral:rRNA from 1 species